AAUCAGUUGAAGUGAACGAAUCAAAGCAUAUGGAUAAUAACUCUCAAGUGAGCAAAACAGAAUUGCCGGAAAAUGUAACUGACAAGGAGCCUGCUGCUUCUGCUGAGGACCCCCAAAUUGGAACAAGUUUAAUAGGGUUAAGAGGGGACAAAGAGGUGGAAUCAAAUAUAUCUAGUGAUUUGAUUUCACCUAUUGCAGUAAUUGGUGAGAUG
rnacentral:misc_RNA from 1 species